rnacentral:tRNA from 1 species
GCCUGGCUGGCUCAGUCGGUGGAGCAUGGGACUCUUGAUCCCACGGUCAUGAGUUCAAGCCUCCCGCUGGGCA